UGGCGUCAGGACGAACGCUGGCGGCGUGCUUAACACAUGCAAGUCGAGCGAUGAAGCUCCUUCGGGAGUGGAUUAGCGGCGGACGGGUGAGUAACACGUGGGUAACCUGCCUCAUAGAGGGGAAUAGCCUUUCGAAAGGAAGAUUAAUACCGCAUAAGAUUGUAGUACCGCAUGGUACAGCAAUUAAAGGAGUAAUCCGCUAUGAGAUGGACCCGCGUCGCAUUAGCUAGUUGGUGAGGUAACGGCUCACCAAGGCGACGAUGCGUAGCCGACCUGAGAGGGUGAUCGGCCACAUUGGGACUGAGACACGGCCCAGACUCCUACGGGAGGCAGCAGUGGGGAAUAUUGCACAAUGGGGGAAACCCUGAAUGCAGCAACGCCGCGUGAGUGAUGACGGCCUUCGGGUUGUAAAACUCUGUCUUUGGGGACGAUAAUGACGGUACCCAAGGAGGAAGCCACGGCUAACUACGUGCCAGCCGCCGC
rnacentral:rRNA from 1 species